AUAAAAAUCACCUUUUUAAAAACAUAAUUUAGUUUGUUUGGAUACAACUAAAAAAAGCGAUCUUUUUUCUUUAAAAAAAAAAAAAGCGAUCUUUUUGUUACAAAAUUUUAGUUUAAUCUUUAGAUCCAUAUUUUCUCUCUCCUCUAAAAAAAAUCUAUUUUUUGACAAACUGCCCUCAAUCUCAUUUAAAGCUGUUUUCAGAUUCUAAUUUUAUUUUUUUUUAAAUUUGUAACAAACAGAUGCAAUAUUCUUAAAAGUGAUUAUUUUCUUAAAAAAAGUGAUUUUUACCUAAAAAAAACCUAUAACUAACAGGGCCUAAAUGAACUAAAGUGACUGAGUUAAUUUCGUGUCAUAUUUGUUUUGUCGGCUAGAGUAAUUUCGUGUCAUAUUUGUUUUGUCGGCUAGAGUAAUAAAAUGUAAGGGUCUAAAUGCAUUUUUGGUCCUUUGAUUUCAAAUUUUUUAAGUUUUUAUCCCCUAUAUUAUAAAUCAACUUUUUGGUCCCUACAUGUUUUUUUUUAUUAUGACUUUUCAUCCUUCACUCUAUUUUGGGGACAAUUUUUAAGAUGUUUGGAUAAACAACUUACACACAUGCUUAUAGCAUUAGAGUUUAUUGAACAAGAACUUACAUCAUAAGCUCUUAUACUCAAUAAGCUUUUUUCGUUUAGAUAAGUACAUUAAAAAGUACUUACAUAAAUUGAAGUGUUUGAAUGUGUCAUGAUAUAAGCAUUUAUAAAAUAU
rnacentral:lncRNA from 1 species